rnacentral:rRNA from 1 species
CCUACGGGAGGCUGCAGUGAGGAAUAUUGGACAAUGGACGCAAGUCUGAACCAGCCAUGCCGCGUGCAGGAAGACGGCUCUAUGAGUUGUAAACUGCUUUUGUACGAGGGUAAACGCAGAUACGCGUAUCUGUCUGAAAGUAUCGUACGAAUAAGGAUCGGCUAACUCCGUGCCAGCAGCCGCGGUAAUACGGAGGAUCCAAGCGUAAUCCGGAUUUAUUGGGUUUAAAGGGUGCGUAGGCGGUCGUGUAAGUUAGAGGUGAAAUCCCGGGGCUCAACUUCGGAAUUGCCGUUGAAACUGUGCGGCUAGAGUGUAGUUGCGGCAGGCGGAAUGUAUGGUGUAGCGGUGAAAUGCUUAGAGAUCAUACAGAACACCGAUUGCGAAGGCAGCUUGCCAAGCUACUUCUGACGUUGAGGCACGAAAGCGUGGGGAGCAAACAGGAUUAGAUACCCUAGUAGUC